rnacentral:rRNA from 1 species
GAUGAACGCUGGCGGCGUGCCUAAUACAUGCAAGUCGAGCGAACGGACGAGAAGCUUGCUUUUCUGAUGUUAGCGGCGGACGGGUGAGUAACACGUGGAUAACCUACCUAUAAGACUGGGAUAACUUCGGGAAACCGGAGCUAAUACCGGAUAAUAUUUUGAACCGCAUGGUUCAAAAGUGAAAGACGGUCUUGCUGUCACUUAUAGAUGGAUCCGCGCUGCAUUAGCUAGUUGGUAAGGUAACGGCUUACCAAGGCAACGAUGCAUAGCCGACCUGAGAGGGUGAUCGGCCACACUGGAACUGAGACACGGUCCAGACUCCUACGGGAGGCAGCAGUAGGGAAUCUUACGCGAUGGGCGAAAGCCUGACGGAGCAACGCCGCGUGAGUGAUGAAGGUCUUCGGAUCGUAAAACUCUGUUAUUAGGGAAGAACAUAUGUGUAAGUAACUGUGCACAUCUUGACGGUACCUAAUCAGAAAGCCACGGCUAACUACGUG